GAUGAACGCUGGCGGCGUGCCUAAUACAUGCAAGUCGAGCGAACAGACGAGGAGCUUGCUCCUCUGACAUUAGCGGCGGACGGGUGAGUAACACGUGGAUAACCUACCUAUAAGACUGGGAUAACUUCGGGAAACCGGAGCUAAUACCGGAUAAUAUAUUGAACAGCAUGGUUCAAUAGUGAAAGACGGUUUUGCUGUCACUUAUAGAUGGAUCCGCGCCGCAUUAGCUAGUUGGUAAGGUAACGGCUUACCAAGGCAACGAUGCGUAGCCGACCUGAGAGGGUGAUCAGCCACACUGGAACUGAGACACGGUCCAGACUCCUACGGGAGGCAGCAGUAGGGAAUCUUCCGCAAUGGGCGAAAGCCUGACGGAGCAACGCCGCGUGAGUGAUGAAGGUCUUCGGAUCGUAAAACUCUGUUAUUAGGGAAGAACAAAUGUGUAAGUAACUAUGCACGUCUUGACGGUACCUAAUCAGAAAGCCACGGCUAACUACGUG
rnacentral:rRNA from 1 species